rnacentral:RNase_P_RNA from 1 species
CCCACGACCAGUGCAACAGAGAGCAAACCGCCGAUGGCCCGCGUAAGCGGGAUCAGGUAAGGGUGAAAGGGUGCGGUAAGAGCGCACCGCGCGGCUGGUAACAGUCCGUGGCACGGUAAACUCCACCCGGAGCAAGGCCAAAUAGGGGUUCACAUGGUACGGCCCGUACUGAACCCGGGUAGGCUGCUUGAGCCAGUGAGCGAUUGCUGGCCUAGAUGAAUGACUGUCCACGACAGAACCCGGCUUAUCGGUCAGCUUCAACU